CAAGUGCAAACUGCUGCUGAAAAGAAGUCCCUCUCCUGCCUUUCUUUCCCUCCCAGCCAGACCUCUGCCAGCAGCAUGGGACCUCGAGGUCCCUGGCAGAGGACCCAGUGCUCUGCCUCCCUUUGCCUACCUGACUGUUUUCUGUUGAACCAACUGAUUAAUCCAGCUCACCUUGCAGCUGCACAAUCAUUAGGUCUGCUGGAGGAAAGGCAGAGUGAACACGUGGCCAGCUAGUGGAGUGUUCCUGCUUCUGGGCACUGAAGCAAUCUCAGCAAGGGCACAGAUAUUGAGAACUGUGUUAAAGAGUAUCAGAGUACAACUUUGAAGAAAAUUAUAAAACCAGCUGAUGCAUCUCCCACAGAAGAGUUUAACUGCUCGCCAUCUCCACUGUGAAUACUGUCAGGAUGCUGCCAGCACUAACCACUCUUAAUUGUCCUGACCAGCCUUACCUGGUACCCCCUCCCUGAACUCCCCUGCCCCAGUUCUCUGACAGGGCUUCCCAGAUGGACUCAGGUUCACACUGCUGCCUUGUCUUCAACUGCAUCUUCAGCUUUGUCUCCUGUCUUAUCUCCUGCUGCCCUGGAUGGAGCUGGCCCUGGCUCACCCUAUCUCAUCUCUUGUGUCUGGGGCUGCUGACAGACACCGUUACCAGACCCUGGCUCUGCUGGCCCUGCUUGUGUGCUACAUGCAACACUGCACCCUGGUUGGCGAGGGCAUUGCCAGUGCUGGAGUCACCCCUGGCUCCUGGCUCAUCCUUCCUUGGGGAGCAGCCCCACUGUCACUCUUCCCUGACAAACAGGACAAAAGUUUAUUGAAAUUGCAGCAAGACAAAUUUAGGAUAACCAUAAGGAAAUCUUCCCAACUGUAACCUGUUCUUAAGGACCAUUCCAGUCCUGAUUUCCAUGAACCUGUGAGAUGCCUGCAAUAGCCAAUGACUGAAGUUAAACUCAAUGUUUAUGAAGCUUUUUAUUUUUUUUUCUCGUGUGUGGCUCCAGGGUAUAUUUGCAUGGUUCUUCACUCUUACAACUCACACUUCCUCUUCAACACUCAGUAGAAUUGCUUUGUGACAGACCUGUAACUGAUCUUACAAUAAAAUUUCAGUUAGAUGUCAACUUUGACACCAGUGGUGGUUCCACUAAUAAAGUAGCUUCCCUUUAGCUCUUCUCAUGCAGAAGAACAACUGGAUCUGCAGACAAUCCUGAUGCUACUACGUAUAUCUUGAAUCUUUUCUAUCUGCCAGUAAGGUAUAUUCUGACCAUCUUCAGGAAAAGGAGACCAGAUAAGCCCAUGUGGGAUUCCUAAAAUAUCUGUAACAUUCCAGAGUAACAGAUUUUGCAAUUUUGCAAAAUACCACUGCCAGCUUUCCUCUACAAUACAUUUUGUAUGAGGCAUAAAUAAAUUCUUUUGAUAUUGAGAUGCCCAGCUGGGGUGUCUCAGGCCUCAGCUUGUGUGACACAGCACCAUGGCAUCAACAUGACGGCUGCCUCUGGAUAAACAUGUUAAUUUAAAAUAAUCAUAAGCAUAAACUGCAAAAUAAAUGAGCUAGCUUUGUAUCUGCAAUGGAAAUCAACUAGGGCACACAAGAGCUUUUGCUUUGAUGUUUUAACAUAUUUGUGUAAUAGCUGUUUUGAUGUUUGCCUGAGACAUGCCUCCAGAUUCUUCCUGUCAUGUAUUAGGAAGGUGAAUGCAAAGUGUAACAGCUGCCUCUUUCUUUCUCCUCCUUCACUUGACUGUUAAGUCUUUCAUCAUGUAUUAGCACAAGGAAAGUGACCCGAAAGAUAUAUUACUUCAACUAAAGAAGUCAUGUAAAAGCAA